GAUGAACGCUGGCGGCGUGCCUAAUACAUGCAAGUAGAACCCUGAAGGAGGAGCUUGCUCUUCUGGAUGAGUUGCGAACGGGUGAGUAACGCGUAGGUAACCUGCCUGGUAGCGGGGGAUAACUAUUGGAAACGAUAGCUAAUACCGCAUGACAACAGUUAUUGCAUGAUAACUGUUUAAAAGGGGCAACUGCUCCACUACCAGAUGGACCUGCGUUGUAUUAGCUAGUUGGUGAGGUAACGGCUCACCAAGGCGACGAUACAUAGCCGACCUGAGAGGGUGAUCGGCCACACUGGGACUGAGACACGGCCCAGACUCCUGCGGGAGGCAGCAGUAGGGAAUCUUCGGCAAUGGACGGAAGUCUGACCGAGCAACGCCGCGUGAGUGAAGAAGGUUUUCGGAUCGUAAAGCUCUGUUGUAAGAGAAGAACGAGUGUGAGAGUGGAAAGUUCACACUGUGAGGGUAUCUUACCAGAAAGGGACGGCUAGCUACGUG
rnacentral:rRNA from 1 species